rnacentral:rRNA from 1 species
AAGCAUAUCAAUAAGCGGAGGAAAAGAAACCAACGGGGAUUGCCCUAGUAACGGCGAGUGAAGCGGCAACAGCUCAAAUUUGAAAUCUGGCGCAAGCCCGAGUUGUAAUUUGUAGAGGAUGCUUCUGGGUAGCGACCGAUCUAAGUUCCUUGGAACAGGACGUCAUAGAGGGUGAGAAUCCCGUAUGUGACCGGCCCGCACCCUUUACGUAGCUCCUUCGACGAGUCGAGUUGUUUGGGAAUGCAGCUCUAAAUGGGAGGUAAAUUUCUUCUAAAGCUAAAUACCGGCCAGAGACCGAUAGCGCACAAGUAGAGUGAUCGAAAGAUGAAAAGUACUUUGGAAAGAGAGUUAAAAAGCACGUGAAAUUGUUGAAAGGGAAGCGCCUGCAACCAGACUUCGCGGCAGUGUUCCGCCGGUCUUCUGACCGGUUCAUUCUCUGUCGCGAGGCCAUCAUCGUCUGGGCCCGCCGGAUAAGACCUUAGGAAUGUAGCUCACCUUCGGGGGAGUGUUAUAGCCUAGGGUGAUGCGGCGAGGCUCGGGCGAGGUCCGCGCUUCGGCAAGGAUGAUGGCGUAAUGGUUGUCGGCGGCCCGUCUUGAAACACGGACCAAGGAGUCUAACAUCUAUGCGAGUGUUCGGGUGUCAAACCCCUACGCGUAAUGAAAGUGAACGGAGGUGGGAACCGCAAGGUGCACCAUCGACCGAUCCUGAUGUCCUCGGAUGGAUUUGAGUAAGAGCAUAGCUGUUGGGACCCGAAAGAUGGUGAACUAUGCCUGAAUAGGGUGAAGCCAGAGGAAACUCUGGUGGAGGCUCGCAGCGGUUCUGACGUGCAAAUCGAUCGUCAAAUUUGGGUAUAGGGGCGAAAGACUAAUCGAACCAUCUA